rnacentral:rRNA from 1 species
UACGAAGGGGGCUAGCGUUGCUCGGAAUCACUGGGCGUAAAGGGUGCGUAGGCGGGUCUUUAAGUCAGGGGUGAAAUCCUGGAGCUCAACUCCAGAACUGCCUUUGAUACUGAAGAUCUUGAGUUCGGGAGAGGUGAGUGGAACUGCGAGUGUAGAGGUGAAAUUCGUAGAUAUUCGGAAGAACACCGGUGGCGAAGGCGGCCAACUGGACCAUUACUGACGCUGAGGCGCGAAAGCGUGGGGAGCAAACAGG